GUUGUAUGGUUAAGUGACUAAGCGUACACGGUGGAUGCCUUGGCAGUCAGAGGCGAUGAAGGACGUAUUAACUUGCGAUAAGCCCAGAUUAGGCAGUAAAAGCCACUUGAGUCUGGGAUUUCCGAAUGGGGAAACCCAACUGCAUAAGCAGUUACUGUUAACUGAAUACAUAGGUUAACAGGGCGAACCGGGGGAACUGAAACAUCUAAGUACCCCGAGGAAAAGAAAUCAACCGA
rnacentral:rRNA from 1 species